UCAGCAAAGUCUGCGGAUCUGGUUAUGCUUCCUGUACGAGACAGAUCACGAAGCGGUUGCUGACUGACCAGUUGGGGCGAAAAUUUUUGUGGGAAGGACGUAAGAGAAAGUUGACAUUCAGGAACCUUCACCUUGCUGAGUGCAUCAUAAAUGCAGUGCAGAGCUGCCAUAAAUGUGAAGACUUCAAGGUAGAAACCAUGGUCACGGAUUAACUUCGCCACGCACCUGCCUGACAUCAGUCAUCUCAAAUGGAACAUUCUGCACCACAGGAGAGAGAGAUGUGAACUGCCUUAAGUGGGCC
rnacentral:lncRNA from 1 species